CGGUGACGCCCCUGGCGGCGACGCGCCGAACCAGGAGACGGCCAGCCCGCCGGAGGGAGCCGGCAUGAACGAGUGCGCCCAGUUCUGCGCCAAGCUCAAGGCUCAACUGCUGCUGGCUCAUGAGGAAGUGGUGCGUCGGUACGGCAUCUCCCUCAGCGGCGGGGCGCUGGACGGCGCCAGCCCGGCGGCGGACGACUCCGGCAUCAACGGCGACGCGCGCACCGACGGAGAGGGCGGCGAAGAUGCCGAGCUGCUGUCGCCGGACGAGGUGAAGGUCACGCCGCCGAC